rnacentral:misc_RNA from 1 species
GUACUAGAUUUUAUAGGUCACGAAGAACCCACAAAAAAGACAUUCAAAGACAUACAAAGGGGUAUAUGAAGGACAUAGACUAUGAAAAUGCAAGGGAAGCGGAAAAACCGCAACCCUCAAUCCGAGAUUUUCACUCGAGAGGUAUUCAUAGUCUAGCUAAAGGUGCACAAGAGAAUAUGAAUAUGAACGAGCGUGCACAUGCUCCUGAGAGCCAGCUACAACCCGAGUCAACUUCAAUAAUGAUCCUUCCGCAGGUUCACCUACGGAAA